rnacentral:rRNA from 1 species
CUGAUCAGCCAUGCCGCGUGCAGGAAGACUGCCCUAUGGGUUGUAAACUGCUUUUAUACGGGAAGAACAAGGGCUACGUGUAGUCUGUUGACGGUACCGUAAGAAUAAGGACCGGCUAACUCCGUGCCAGCAGCCGCGGUAAUACGGAGGGUCCGAGCGUUAUCCGGAAUUAUUGGGUUUAAAGGGUCCGUAGGCGGGCCGUUAAGUCAGUGGUGAAAGUCUGCAGCUCAACUGUAGAAUUGCCUUUGAUACUGACGGUCUUGAAUCAUGGUGAAGUGGUUAGAAUAUGUAGUGUAGCGGUGAAAUGCAUAGAUAUUACAUAGAAUACCGAUU